ACGUAGGGGGCGAGCGUUAUCCGGAAUUAUUGGGCGUAAAGCGCGUGCAGGCGGCUUGGUAGGUUGGACGUUAAAGCUCCCGGCUCAACUGGGAGAGGCCGUUCAAAACCGCUAGGCUUGAGGGCGGAAGAGGGGAGUGGAAUUCCCGGUGUAGUGGUGGAAUGCGUAGAUAUCGGGAGGAACACCAGUGGCGAAAGCGGCUCCCUGGUCCGCAUCUGACGCUCAGACGCGAAAGCGUGGGGAGCGAACGG
rnacentral:rRNA from 1 species